UCGGCGUUGAAACACCAAUUCUCAUCCGAUCAUCGAAGUUAAGCAACACUGGACCUGGUCAGUACCUAGAUGGGUAACCAUUGAGAAACACCAGGCGUUGUAA